AGCGAACGCUGGCGGCAGGCCUAACACAUGCAAGUCGAACGAAGUCUUCGGACUUAGUGGCGGACGGGUGAGUAACACGUGGGAACGUACCUUUUGGUUCGGAACAACUCAGGGAAACUUGAGCUAAUACCGGAUAAGCCCUUCGGGGGAAAGAUUUAUCGCCAUUAGAGCGGCCCGCGUUAGAUUAGCUAGUUGGUGAGGUAAAGGCUCACCAAGGCUACGAUCUAUAGCUGGUCUGAGAGGAUGAUCAGCCACACUGGGACUGGGACGCGACCCAGACUCCUACGGGAGGCAGCAGUGGGGAAUCUUGCGCAAUGGGCGAAAGCCUAACGCAGCCAUGCCGCGUGAAUGAUGAAGGUCUUAGGAUUGUAAAAUUCUUUUACCAGGGACGAUAAUGACGGUACCUGGAGAAAAAGCCCCGACUAACUUCGUGCCAGCCGCCGCCGUAA
rnacentral:rRNA from 1 species